rnacentral:rRNA from 1 species
GACGAACGCUGGCGGCGUGCUUAACACAUGCAAGUCGAACGAUGAAGAAGAGAAACGCGAACUUCGGUUCAAAUUUCACUUCGGAUUAGUGGCAGACGGGUGAGUAACGCGUGAGCAACCUACCUCUUACAAAGGGAUAGCCUCGGGAAACCGUGAUUAAUACCAUAUGACACAUUCAUAAGGCAUCUUAAGAAUGCUAAAGCUACGGCGGUAAGAGAUGGGCUCGCGUCCCAUUAGCUAGUUGGUGAGGUAACGGCCCACCAAGGCGACGAUGGGUAACCGGCCUGAGAGGGUGAACGGUCACAUUGGAACUGAGACACGGUCCAAACUCCUACGGGAGGCAGCAGUGGGGAAUAUUGCACAAUGGAGGGAACUCUGAUGCAGCGACGCCGCGUGAGCGAUGAGGGAAUUCGUUUCGUAAAGCUCUGUUCUAUGGGAAGAAAAGGACUGUACCAUAGGAGAAAGCCCCGGCUAAAUACGUG